UACGGAGGGGGCAAGCGUUGUUCGGAGUUACUGGGCGUAAAGCGCGCGUAGGCGGUGCGGUAAGUCAGGGGUUAAAGGCUGCAGCUCAACUGCAGUAAGGCCUUUGAUACUAUCGCGCUAGAGUACCAGAGAGGAUGGCGGAAUUCCCGGUGUAGCGGUGAAAUGCGUAGAUAUAGGGAGGAACACCGGUUGCGAAGGCGGCCAUCUGGCUGAUAACUGACGCUGAGGUGCGAGAGCGUGGGGAGCAAACAGG
rnacentral:rRNA from 1 species